UAGAAUAUGAUAUCUAUAAAAAAAUGUUUGUUUUGUACACUGUGUUGUUCAAACGUAUGUAAGCGUCUCGUUAGUGUCGUUUUAAGUAGGGUAGUUUCAGCUGGCUAACUAGCAGUAGUUAGCAUCAUGCGAAACCAUGAUUUUGAUGUCUUUGUGCCACAAAGUCACCUGAAAGAAGCUGCUGGUGUGCUGAAAGGUGUGUGUCUUCCAGGUUGGUCAUUUCAGCUCAAUAUGCCGUCAAAUACCUGGCAUAAUUUACUUUGUCACAGGCAAAAAACCAGGGCAGCAUACUUUGCACAGUGGACAAAUGGAGAGCCCAGUUCCCCUCUCUUGUUGCCCUUAUGAAAAGAAGCAAAUCCUCCAUGUCAAGUGUGUCCAAGUAUGCCCACCAGCGCAGUUUCUGGAGUGCUUUCAUCAGGAGUUUGUGAGCCCGUAUGCUCCUGUUGUAGUGAUUGCCGGUGAUCACUCCAUCGAUUGAGCCUGCUGCCACCAGGUCAGACUCGAUCAAGAUGUCCUGAAAGCCAGCAUCACCAUACAACUUUCCUAUGCAUGAAAGAUAUGCCAUUGCUGUGUGGAACUCUCCCAUCCUCACUACAAUUCUCUCAGACUGUCAGCAAUGGCAAUUGAGCGGCUCAGGAUGGUGUGGACAGUGUUGAGAUCAGUCGGGCUGGCGUCAAUCACUGGCAGGUUGAAAGAUUCAGUGGAGGAGGAUGAACAGACCAUUCUCGUGUUCUCUGUCUGGGUAAUGUGUCUGGUAAGGGUGCUGUAUAACUGUUUAUGGCCCUCUGAAUUAUUAUACCAUUGGUGUUAUGUGUUGUCCCUUUACCUGAAAGAGUUUCCUCUCAAGUCAUUAUUAUCCCAGACAAGAGUCACAGGCACUUCAGCACUGAUGUUUUCAGGGAUGUAUAUUUCUCCUCUCUCCAUUUGUAGGUGAGCAAGGGCAGUAUCAUGCUCAAGGACCUGGGAAUUGGAUGAGCAGUGACCCAGACCAUUUAACAACCCUAUAAGCUGUGCAGAGCCAGUCAUCUGCCGAACUGCCAUUGCAAGUGAGCACUGUUUUGGCAUGAGCCACCGUCCUCUGGUUGCCAAGGUAAUAAUGUCCUGACAAGUGGACACUAUCUUUCUGCUGUCCUCUGAAGUGACAUCAACACGUUCAUCUGAUGGUUGUAAUGACAUUUCCUGAUGUCCAUGCAAUAAAGUUAAAAAGUUGGUGAGGCACUACACUCAGGGCAUUUUCCAGUGUGAUGUCACCUGCUGUGGGAGGCCAUGGAAGCUUUGGUGAUCUUUUUGAUGUCUUUUCUAUGAUUUCUUUGAGUAUCAUUGCUGCAUGAUAUAACACCCGAGAAUCAUUUGUGUUGGUGGCAUUUUCAGUAGCUUCUUGACCUCUCAUUUCUCCUUCACUUUCUUCAGAUGAGGAGGAAGCAGAGGAGACAGCAACUUCAUGCACAAUCUGACAGAUUGUCCACAUAUACAAGAUAGGUUGUGGAUGCCUUCAGGAAUUUCAAGAAGGGAUGAGACUUUUGAAGUCUUGCCUUAAGUGAAUGUGCCUUAUAAGCUGCAAUGUUCACUCCCUCUGUUUCUUCCACAGUUUUUUUGAAUAGCAAAUUCAGCUUUGACAGUUGAAGCACUUUGGUGUUUUAAAAGCCUCUCCUCAAUGACUGUUUUGCAGAAGUGCUUGUAUCCAUUUUCAUAUAUGUUUGUUUCUGUUCUCUCAUUUUUUUUGUGUGGUCAGGUACCGGGUAUAAUCUCGAUAGCAGGUGAAGUGAUACCGUGCUUCACUAGCCACCAAGUCCCUGUCUUGGAUAUGGAGAAGGAGAGACUCAUCCCUUCUCCCUUCAGCGGCGAGAAGCAAUUUCCUGGCAUGGAGUGUUUCACACUGUAUUAGUUUUUCUUUUACCCUUUUCCUGCUGUGUGUCUGAACCUUGUACUUCUCAUGUUUGCAAAUAAUGCAUUGUACUGGAAGCAGGUGUGGGGCCUGCUUGGACGUGACGAGAUCACUGGCAUUAGACCUCAGAGCCCGUGUUUUUACUGGAAUUGCCUCACCAUCCUCUGCCUCUACCACUAAAAAAAAGUGCAAAACAAUAGAUUGAGGUUCUGCACCCUUCCCCACAUCACUGAUUAAAGAAAAAUGGUUUGUAACUUUAAGCAGGGGAAAACUCAUGCUCCAUAUAUUGGUUUCACCUGUUCCCUUAACAUGGUUAAUAAACCAGUUUCACAGUGUUCAGGUGUCUGGCCUUGUUGAUGUUAAUAAUGACAUAUUUGGAAUGGUACAUUUUUGCAGGAUGUUUUUAUUAUAUUACGGUUAAUACACUGUAUAUAACUAUAUUAUUUGUACUGUUAUGUGCAGUGUAGUAGCAGUAACUGUAUGUGUUCAUACUGCAUAUCCACUUCUAUUAUGCACAUUUAUGUAAUUUAUAUUACUGUAAAACAUGGUACUUUCUUAAAUGUAUACUACUGUCUACACUGUACCGAAUGUCUUAAACUGCACCACCUAUCUAUACAAUAUAAUACCAACCUUCAUUUGCAGUUUCUUCAACUAAUACUGCCUUCUCUCUAGAUGAAUACUGUCUUCUAAAUUUAGGCUAUUUUAACGUUGUAUCCUAUGGUUUUUAUAAUGUGUUUCCAAGCAAUACCAUGGAUCAAAUGUGUGAAAUCAGAACGGUAUAUUUAUUAAAGAUUACAACGAAAUGACAAGACAUCGUAUGACAAAAGAUGG